CACGUGAUGAGGAAGGAUGGGUAGCACGGCCUUGGAUACCUUAGUCUCGGGUGGUAUCCUGUGAUGGGGAAAUGAGUCCUCUCUUACCAUGUCUGGCUGGCGGCGACCCAGAUGCCAUGUGAUGGCCAUCUGAAGAGAGGCCUGUCGGACAUCAGGUCCAGACACUUGCCUUCAGGGACCUGGGCUUUCAGCUCUCCAUACCUGGCCCUGGUUGAUGGCCCCAUGCUGAGCAGUGCACGUGAAGACACACAUGGAUCCAGUCCUCUACUCCUCUUGUCUGGACCUGCUUGUUUUCAGGUUCCUUUUGCUGCAUGCUGACCUCAGGCCACAGCCCCACGUGCCCUCUCCCCACACGCCACUUCUCGGCUCCCACUCUCACCCACCGGGCAGUGAUCUCCCAGAGCCGUAAAGCAUCGCGGGCAUAGAGAGCACCCGGGGUUCCCAGCAGGCCGCGGUCAGCCAGAUUGUCAGGAGGACAGAGGGAGCAGUAGGUCAGCUGCGCCAGGGCCCGGCGGAGCAAGUGCACGUGGCCCCCUCCACCGGUGCUCACUGCCUGGGACAAGAGAGAUGCGAGGGUUGAGGAAGAAGCCAGCACACAGUAUAAUCAUUUGAUACUGGGCUGUUUCCUUUCUCUGGGGUCUGAGUGAAGUGGGACGUGGAGGGUAGAGGUUGUACCUUGAAGACAGGGUGCAGCCCCGGAAGGCACCUCAUGGUGGCCACAGCGAUGACCUCAGCCAGCAG